UCAAUAACCUGGCACCUGGUGCUGCGAUAUAGAGGCGUUGAGAUGGGUAGAGAGGGAGAAGGGGAAGGCGGAGGAGGGAAGAAGAGGGGGGGGGGAGAUGGAAGAGCGAGUCCAUGCCCUGGGCACCUUGCUUCUUGCAGACCUCUUUGUCGUCUGGCCGCGUCUUSGCUGUGCGUUGCAAGGCAAACACCGCUGUCACGGCCGCCUACGCGUCCGCUAGGCCGCGGACUACGCGCUGAUCUUUCAGNUCUGGGCCGAGAUUUUCUCAAUUCCCGGUAGGUGGUGUCUGGAAGUGGCCAGAGAUCCUACCAUCUAUGAGGUGGUGGAUUUUUGGCGUCAAGGUGGACAGCUACCCGGGAAUUGGACCUGAAAACUGGCCAAGUCGGACAGCUACCCGGGAAUUGGAACCAGUGCUGACGCUGGCAGCUACCCGGGAGUUGGCCGGAAAACGACCAAGUCGGACAGCUACCCUGGAAUUGCGGGCUACCCGGGAAUUGGGAAUCUGGAGAACGGAUUUUGGGUAGUUGGCUGCAAGACGGCCAAGUCAGACACCUGGGAGCUACCCGGGAAUUGGGAGCUACCCUGGAAUUGCGGGCUACCCGGGAAUUGGGAGCUACCCGGGAAUUGGGAGGUGCUACCCGGGAAUUGGGGGACGAAUUCGCCGAUUCCUCCACCACCUGGCCGUUUCACGCUAUCUUUUACUAGUGUACUGGAAAGAGCGUAUCGUCUUUAGUAUAUUUGACCAUUGAAAAUAUUAUAUGUACUUUAGUAUUAUUUGUUUUAGGUCUCGAAAGUMUGCUUAUCAUGUAAUGAUAUUCUUGUUGGGUYUCUGGUGAGAAGUCGUAUUSUCCGYAAAAACGGUAGAACGCUAAAABAAAUGCAUCGCAACCGHACAAGCAUACUCGGAUUACCCCAUAACCGGUCGUGCAUCGCCGCUGCAGCGUUGUGGCGGCCGUAGUAGUGGAAUUGAGGUUGUGGCGAGCUACCCGGGAAUUGGGGGCUACCCGGGAAUUGGGCAACAUCGAGGCGCCGACSACCCUCGGAACGGCGCAGGGCGGCUGCAGYKGCGCCCACCAAAAACWGGACCCAGGGUAUGUAAGAWGGGGAAAGCGAAAGCWGAACCCGGGCUGGGCUCCUCAGURCGUCUUUCAGUAAUGAGAAUCCGCCGAACACUGUUCCAUAUCAUAUCGAACGCUAUUUAGUGCCCUGUUACGAGCCUACCGGUUCAAGGGGCUACCGAGCACGCGUUCAACCUCCACGGAGGUAGCCGCCCAGGCGGUCUACCAAACUGGAGUUGCCUUACGGCGCUGAGAGGUUCGCCUCUACAGCGACGCAAGAUGGGCUCUGUGGGUGACUGGACCGUUGGCCAAACCUACUUCUAGAGCAGCGGGAGACGACGCGCGUGGUGGAAGCCGACCAGCUGACGCCGCGUGACCGGGACUCUACCUCUCGGGGCGCUCUAGCCUCGACCUCCCGCCUGCGGUGGAUGCUGCGUGGUGAACGGUGCCCUGGGKAAUUCAGAGGGGUAAGGUGGAUGCCGUUAGCGGDCCUCGCGGGCUAUGCCUGAGUUSCUGCCGGCGGUGCGUUCCUAGCGAACGUGACACCGGUGACUAAAUAUCUCUUCGGUGGUGCUUCGGCGCCCCGAUGNCCAUCCCCHNHNWACWAUAGW
rnacentral:rRNA from 1 species